rnacentral:rRNA from 1 species
AACGUAGGAGACAAACGUUAUCCGGAGUUACUGGGCGUAAAGGGCUCGUAGGCGGCCAACUAAGUCGGACGUGAAAUCCCUCAGCUUAACUGGGGAACUGCGUCCGAUACUGGAUGGCUUGGAUUUGGGAGAGGGAUGCGGAAUUCCAGGUGUAGCGGUGAAAUGCGUAGAUAUCUGGAGGAACACCGGUGGCGAAGGCGGCAUCCUGGACCAAUAUUGACGCUGAGGAGCGAAAGCCAGGGGAGCAAACGGG